UGCGGUUAACCCGUAGAUCCGAACUUAUGUUCGGUUUGAUAACAUGAGCUCGGCACUCGGGUAAAUCGCGC
rnacentral:pre_miRNA from 12 species